rnacentral:rRNA from 1 species
GACGAACGCUGGCGGCGUGCCUAAUACAUGCAAGUCGAGCGGACUGAUUAAGAGCUUGCUCUUAUGACGUUAGCGGCGGACGGGUGAGUAACACGUGGGCAACCUGCCCUGUAGAUCGGGAUAACACCGAGAAAUCGGUGCUAAUACCGGGUAAUAUCUGCUAUCACAUGAUCUUAGGUUAAAAGAUGGCUCCGGCUAUCACUACAGGAUGGGCCCGCGGCGCAUUAGCUAGUUGGUAAGGUAAUGGCUUACCAAGGCGACGAUGCGUAGCCGACCUGAGAAGGUGAUCAGCCACACUGGGACUGAGAGACGGCCCAGACUCCUACGGGAGGCAGCAGGAGGGAAUCUUCCGCGAGGGACGAAAGUCUGACGGAGCAACGCCGCGGGAGUGAUGAAGGGUUUCGGCUCGGAAAGCUCUGUUGUUAGGGAAGAAACAGUACCGAACGAACUAGGUCGGUACCUUGACGGUACCUAACCAGAAAGCCACGGCUAACUACGUG